rnacentral:rRNA from 1 species
GACGAACGCUGGCGGCGUGCUUAACACAUGCAAGUCGAACGGAAAGGCCCUGCUUGCAGGGUGCUCGAGUGGCGAACGGGUGAGUAACACGUGGGUGAUCUGCCCCUUACUUUGGGAUAAGCCUGGGAAACUGGGUCUAAUACUGGAUAGGACCAUGCUGUAGGUGGUGUGGUGGAAAGAUUAGUUUCGGUAAGGGAUGAGCUCGCGGCCUAUCAGCUUGUUGGUGGGGUAACGGCCUACCAAGGCGUCGACGGGUAGCCGGCCUGAGAGGGUGGACGGCCACAUUGGGACUGAGAUACGGCCCAGACUCCUACGGGAGGCAGCAGUGGGGAAUAUUGCACAAUGGGCGCAAGCCUGAUGCAGCGACGCCGCGUGGGGGAUGACGGCCUUCGGGUUGUAAACUCCUUUCAGCCAUGACGAAGCCCUUGUGGUGACGGUAGUGGUAGAAGAAGCACCGGCUAACUACGUG